CGACCCCAGGUCAGGCGGGACUACCUGCUGAGUUUAA
rnacentral:rRNA from 1 species